rnacentral:lncRNA from 1 species
UUGACUCCGCUGUCCUGGUGUCGUGAGGGAGCUUGUUCCACCAUUGGGAUGCCAGAGCAGCGAACAGUUUUGACUGGGCUGAGCGGGAACUGUGCUUCCGCAGAGGUAGGGGGGCCAGCAGGCCAGAGGUGGAUGAACGCAGUGCCCUUCUUUGGGUGUAGGGACUGAUCAGAGCCUGAAGGUACGGAGGUGCCAUUCCCCUCACAGCCCUAGAGAAGUUAAAGGGGGACUCUACGCAGGGUUUGCCAGCACAGAUAGUCUAUGGUGUUUUGAGUGUCGGGAUUUGGGGCAUAAGAGCUUUGCGUACCAGUGGGGGAAAUCGACGUGAAAGUGCAGGGGGCAAUGAGAUGCAGACAGCAGAGACUGGGCCUAGUCAUGCCAGGGAUGAUGGUGUAGAUGAGGCUGGGCCUAGUUAGGCUAGAGAUGGUGGUGUAGAUGAGGCUGGGCCUAGUCAUGCCAGGGAUGGUGGUGUAGAUGAGGCUGGGCCUAGUUAGGCUAGAGAUGGUGGUGUAGAUGAGGCUGGGCCUAGUCAUGCCAGGGAUGGUGGUGUAGAUGAGGCUGGGCCUAGUUAGGCUAGAGAUGAGGCUGGGCCUAGUCAUGCCAGGGAUGGUGGUGUAGAUGAGGCUGGGCCUAGUCAUGCCAGGGAUGGUGGUGUAGAUGAGGCUGGGCCUAGUCAUGCCAGGGAUGGUGGUGUAGAUGAGGCUGGGCCUAGUUAGGCUAGAGAUGGUGGUGUAGAUGAGGCUGGGCCUAGUCAUGCUAUGGAUGGUGGGGUAGCUGAGGCUGGGUCAAGUCAUGCUAUGGAUGGUGGUGUAGAUGAGGCUGGGUCUAGUCAGGUUAUGCUAGUGGAUGAGGAGAGUGUAGUGGGGAAGUGUAAGAGACUAGGGGGGAAGAGGAGGGUGUCAAGCUGAAAAGGAAAAAGGGGGAGAAAAAAGGAGGUGGGAGGGGAGAGGCUGGUGUGAUCAAAAGCACCAAUGAACCUUUGCCUGGUGCUGGGGAGGAGGCCCUGACCAGAGAGGAAGGGCAGGUGGUCAGGAUGGGAGAUGGAGAUGAGGAGGAAAGUGAGUCUGAGGAAGAGGAUGAUUGACAAGGUUUUCUUUCAGACUCCUCUUCAAUGACAGCCAGUCAAGUAGAGGGGUCAAAGUACACAUUGAGGGAACUGACAAGGUUCCUGAAUGAGACCAAGGGGGAAAAAGUUAAUCUUGAGGUCUUUUUUCUGAUCCGAGAAUGUUUGUAAGAUCAGUACAAUAUGCUAUGAAAAAUGAGGGGCAUGGUGUCCUCUCACCCAGGAAACGGUUUAGGUUGAGGAAGUGGGUCACAACAGUGCGUAAAGGUUGACCUUCAGACACUGUUGAGAUCUAAAGUUUCUUUCUGGCACUGUGACUUUUUGAGCUUUGCUAUUGGUCUCUUUCUUUGCAGGCUUUUCUCCCACUUCUUAUGGAGGCUCUUCAGGUAGGCUCGCUCAAUAUAAAUGGCACCAGAGAUGCGGGAAAGAGGAGUGUGUUGGGUGAAUAUGUAAAACAAAAAAAGUACAGGUGUUGUUUCUGCAGGAGACGCAUAGUGAUGUGGUGAAUGAAGUCGACUGGGGGCUCUGGUGGAAAGUGGCAAGUGUGUUGAGCCAUGGGACAAAUUUUAGUGCAGGGGCGGGUCUGUCUGUAAAAAUUUGCUCCUCAAAGAAGGUGUUUAGGGGUAGGCUGCUUGUUGUAAAAGCAGAAAUUAACAACAUGGGUUUUGUCUUUAUAAAUGUGUAUGCACCUAACACAGGGAGAAAAUGGGGGGUUCUAUUUGGGAGUCUUAGACAGGAACUCUCACAGGUAACGCCUGAGGAGACGCUGGUGGUCGGAGGGGACUGGAACUGUACAAUGGAUUUUACGAAAGACAGAAAUGGUGUAGAGCCUCAUUCAGUGUCAGUGGGAGUGUUAAGGGACAUCAUUAAUCAGUUCGACCUAGUGCAUGUUUGGAGAACUAAACAGCCCAACACAAGACAGUAUACAUGGGGGAAGGUUUUUGGGGCUAGGGUGAGUGCAGCCCGACUUGAUCGUUUUUAUAUGUCCAGGAAUCGGAGCAAUAGGCUGUUGGGCGCUACCAUUCUCCCAGUGGGUUUUUCAGAUCACCACAUAACCAAUAGCUCUGUUGUCUAUUUCACCAGGGCCCCGGC